GAUGAACGCUAGCGGUAGGCUUAACACAUGCAAGUCGAACGGGAUUCGGGUAGCAAUAUCUGAUGAGAGUGGCGCACGGGUGAGUAACGCGUAUGCAACCUGCCUAUAACUGGAGAAUAGCCCCCGGAAACGGGGAUUAAUGUUCCAUAAUGUUCAGAGAUCGCAUGGUUUUUGGACUAAAGCUCCGGCGGUUAUAGAUGGGCAUGCGUGCCAUUAGCUAGUUGGUGAGGUAACGGCUCACCAAGGCUACGAUGGUUAGGGGGUCUUAAAGGAUGAUGCCCCACACUGGUACUGAGACACGGACCAGACUCCUACGGGAGGCAGCAGUGAGGAAUAUUGGUCAAUGGGCGCAAGCCUGAACCAGCCAAGCCGCGUGAAGGAUGACGGCCCUAUGGGUUGUAAACUUCUUUUGUAUGGGAAGAACUCCCCGACGUGUCGGGGGCUGACUGUACUAUACGAAUAAGCAUCGGCUAACUCCGUGCCAGCCGCCGCCGUAACAC
rnacentral:rRNA from 1 species